GCAUUUGAAGUUGUGAACCCAUUGGGAUCUGCAAAAAACAAGCACAAGAUCUUGGCUGUUUACUUUUCUCUACUCAAUAUGCCACCCCAUGUCCGAUCAAAUACUGAUCAUAUGCAGUUGGUCUUGUUGUGUAGAGAGAAGGAUUUCAAGGAAUUUGGCCAUUCCAGAGUUUUUUCAGAACUGUUGACUGACUUGAAAAUACUAGAGGAGAAUGGGAUAACUAUGGCAGAUGAAUCAGUUGUGAAAGGAGCACUGUAUUGCAUUGCUGGAGACAACUUGGGCUCUCACUGCAUCGGGGGUUUUACGGAAAAUUUCAGUACAUCUCAGUACUUCUGCAGAUAUUGUCUGAUUACUCGGUCUGAAUUUCAGAGUGAAAAUCCAGCUAUCAUCGGACCAGAGCGGACUCCAGAAACGUAUCAAUCUGCCACUGAACAGCUGGAAAGAGAGGAUGUGACAGAAGUACAGGGGAUUAAGUUCAGAUAUGAUGGAUACACAAAAGGACAUCCGCGAUGCCAUUCGAGCAGCGCUUCCUGGUCUUUCACAGGAAGUUUUGGCUGCUUUAGAGGAUGUGUUGGAGAAACUCGGCACUACAACCACAGAUGAUUUCCAGUAUAUCACCGAAGGAGACUUAUUGCCUGUGCUGAAGCCCAUACAGGCCAGAAGACUGGUUGCUGCAUGGGCCCAAAAUAACUCAAUGGCUUCAACUUCAGGCGGGGCAUCCUCCUCUCCACAGUCCGUUCAGUCCUCUCAAUCGGCAGCCUCACUUUCACAACCAUCGUCUGCUGCUACUUCAUCGCCUUCCCUGAGCUGCUCCCCAGUUUUGCCAACCUGGGUUGACAGUUUUCAGAUACCGUGGCAGAAGCUUCCAGAAGAGCUGAUACAGACUUUGGAACGACAGAAAAGGCCAAGUGCACGACUUCGAAGACAAAUGGUGAGGAUUAUUGUCUCUGAAAUGAUGCUGAUUUGCAAGAAUUGAACCAAACGCAACACUACUGAAAUAGCAGAAAGGAUGGUGAGCAGGUAUUCAAAGUCACUUAAGGAUGUCAUUGAUGGUGACGUUAUUGGACUUGGUUAUCAUUCCCUGGUAAAACAACUCCAGGCAAGAAUUGAAAAUGUCUAACGACAAGACACACCAAAGAUAACUAAACGCAAGGCAGAAUCAGAUAAUGACACUGAUGAGAUACCUGCUGAGCAGAAAGCCAGUGUUCAAGACACGUAUGGCUGUGUCAACUGGGCGCCAAGGUUUUUGCCCCUUUCUGAGACUGUAGAGUCAGCUUAAGAAAAAAGAAGACAUGAAAAAGAUGUUCAAAGACAAAAAAUAUGCUGCAGAAGAUGUGAAAGAACUUAUCAAGUCCACCUAUUACACGCAACGAAAGGACAUCAAUAAAGGUACAAGCAUCCUGAAGCUAUGCCAAGAAUGGCCUUUUUUGUUCCAUGAAACUGGCAUGGCAGAACACUUCCAGCAACUUACUGGCAUCAGUCUGAUGGAAGCCUUCUUCACCAAUCUGGACAAAAAGGGGGAGCGCAUCGUCAACUUCCUGAAAACUGUUUUUGCUCAGAAAGAAAAACAAGUUCUGGAGUCUCUCCUCAAGUUAGCAAGUGAAAAAGGUCAGUCCAGUGGUUGUACAGAGAUGAUUCUUCUUCUACUUGCUUUUUUUGGUGAGAAGGAAGAGCAUA